rnacentral:lncRNA from 1 species
AUAUAGCCCAGGAUGACCUCAAACUUAGCCUCAGCCUCUCAGAAGCUUAGAUUGCGGUUGUAAGCCACCAUGCCCAGAUAGUGUUUUGUCGGGGAGGCUGGAAAUCAUAGAACAUUUAGCAUUUUUCCCAGGCUAUACAUUAGAUGCCAAGAGUAUCCCCAUUCCAGCUGUUCUAACUAAGCAUUUCUCUGGAUUAAUGCUAUCUGUUCACUGGGGGAGGCAGUAAAGCGAGCUCAGUCUACCUUGUGCACCCCAUCUUCUCUUUCUGACUCUAUCCCUCUCAACACACACCCCAUCCAUUCAGGUCAUGACCUUGAUUCCAGCAUGAGACUUUGACAGCCAUGAGAGCUCAUGGAAGAAGCUGAAUUGCUUCCUCCCACAAGCUGGACUCCAGACUGACCAGCUUGGCCAGGGCUGUGUGAAGUACAGCGAAGAGACCAGUGGAGCUGGGCUACAGGUCCCCAGAAAUACAGCUAGCAGACUGCUGCCCCAGUGAGAGUGGACCAUUUAAUGCGCAUGCCCGUGCACUAAAAACUAGUGCACCCCUGUGAUUUCCAGGCAGAAGAACCUCCAAGGUUAAGCGCAACCCCCAAGUCUGCGGGGGAUUCCUUCCCAGCACUGUGCCUUCAACACCGCUUCAAAAAACCUUUAAAAAAA